UACAGAGGUCUCAAGCGUUGUUCGGAUUCAUUGGGCGUAAAGGGUGCGUAGGUGGCGCCGUAAGUCAGGUGUGAAAUUUCGGAGCUUAACUCCGAAACUGCAUUUGAUACUGCGGUGCUUGAGGACUGGAGAGGAGACUGGAAUUUACGGUGUAGCAGUGAAAUUCGUAGAUAUUCGCAAGAACACCAGUGGCGAAGGCGGCUCACUGGCCCGAUACUGACGCUGAGGCACGAAAGCGUGGGGAGCAAACAGG
rnacentral:rRNA from 1 species